UCCGGAAUGGUGUAGUGGUUAGCAUUUCUGCCUCUCAACUAUCUCGUCUAAAGUCGAAGACAAGAGAGGAAAGUCCGCAGGAGACCGGGGUUCAAUUCCCCGUUCCGGAA